CAAAGGCACGAGGGUGCUGUGGAGGACCAGGACCCGCCUAUAUAAACUACGGCCGGACAUUUUUCAGUCUCUCUCUGGCUGCUCUCUGUUGGAUGUGAACGUCCAGCUAACCGGAUUUUUGCUCAGAACUGAGGAAACAAGGAUCUACAAUGAGUCCCAGCGCGGAGUUCACUACGCAGAACACCAAGUGCCCAAGGAACUCGAGGAGAUCCACGUUAAAAGAUGGUUGAAUAAAGAUCACACUGCCUAAAGGUGGAUGCUCUGAAAGAUCAUUUGACCCCCUACCUGAGUCCUACCUGAGAUGGGGGGGGGGGGGAGAAGAAGAGUCUGCAGCCAGGAGCACAUGGUUUCUCAAGAUGUUGGAGACUCUCUCUUAGCUCGUCCACACACUGAUGGAAGGAGUUGCUGGGACAUAUCCACAUCUCAACCACAAACCUGGAUGCUGACUCCAAGGCUGGAGUUGUAAUGAGGAUCUACAACGAGUCCCAGCGUGUAGUUCACUACGCCACAUCUGCAACCACACAAACCUGGAUGCUGACUCCAAGGCUGGAGUUAUAAUGAGGGUGUGACUGAAGGACCUGGAUCUGGAGGACGUGCAGACUCAUGAAAAGCCGGGUGGAACAGUUCUACUGGGCUCUGCAGGGGCAUGGAGUCACUUGGGAGUGAAACUCGGACUCUCCUGUCCUCCGUCUUGUUGUACAAGGCUAUUCAUCUAAACUGUUAACUACAUUGACAUGAAUUUGUAUUUGAAGAAUUUUCAAAUAAAUGUUUGACAGAAUGGA